rnacentral:rRNA from 2 species
UAGGGAAUCUUCGGCAAUGGGGGGAACCCUGACCGAGCAACGCCGCGUGAGUGAAGAAGGUUUUCGGAUCGUAAAGCUCUGUUGUUAAGGAAGAACGAGUGUGAGAAUGGAAAGUUCAUGCUGUGACGGUACUUAACCAGAAAGGGACGGCUAACUACGUGCCAGCAGCCGCGGUAAUACGUAGGUCCCGAGCGUUGUCCGGCUUUAUUGGGCGUAAAGCGAGCGCAGGCGGUUAGAAAAGUCUGAAGUGAAAGGCAGUGGCUCAACCAUUGUAGGCUUUGGAAACUGUUUAACUUGAGUGCAGAAGGGGAGAGUGGAAUUCCAUGUGUAGCGGUGAAAUGCGUAGAUAUAUGGAGGAACACCGGUGGCGAAAGCGGCUCUCUGGUCUGUAACUGACGCUGAGGCUCGAAAGCGUGGGGAGCGAACAGG